UGGGGAGGGGCACUUGGUAGUGAUGGCAAAGGAGUCUUGGGAGGCAGGUUGUCACUAAGGAGUGAGAACUUCUCUCUGAAGACAAUGGGGACACCAGGAGGCUUUCAAGCAGGAGAGUGAUAAGGGUGAUCCGUCCUUUUUAUCUAAACAGGCAAACCUCUACUGUUAUAUUCGCCUUCCUGUCAAUGCCAAGGUCAAGAAACUGAUGGCCUCUGGUGUUCCAGACCGGGCAGCCUUGAAUCUACAGAACCUGAAUGAUGAACACACAGUUGAGAAACUGAGCAACUAGGAACUUCAUAUCAAUAGAAGGCAUCUCAUAUUCUCUGGGACCUAAAAGGACCAGGAAUAGUAAUGAGCCUAGUAUCAGGCCCAAGGAAGAGGCUGCUGAGAUCACCUGGGGCACUGUAGCUUUGAAGACAGCCCUCUUGGGUCAGUGCCGGAGGGUGAACCUGUUGGAUGUCCAUCUCACAUGCUGCUCCUACUUAGAGCCCUGGCAGCACAAUUGAUACUCCUCUUCCCACUGAACCUGAGCUGCUGCCUCAAAGAAGUCUUUGUGAGAAGAGGUGUGUAUUAAGGAACAAGGACAAGCAAACCAUUGGAACCUCAGAUUCAGCGACCCCUUCUCUACACAGGUGGUCCUACUUCCUUGCUGCUUCUGCAGAGUCCUCAUUCUAAAAUCAAUCACAACAAAGAACCAAAACAACAGUAGAAAUAGAAGCUCAACAAAACCUGGGAACCAGAGUAAAGUGAUAAUGACCCCCAUCCUACAUCAUCUACCGUUCUCCUACCGAUGGCUCCUUUAAGAACAUCACCUCUCAUCCAGUUGUCCCAGGGGCUGCCAAACAUCAGCACAAUUUUCAAAAUAAUGCUUGCAAGACAUGCCAAGUUGAAGAGCUAUUCAUGCACCAAAUGACUUCCACAAGAGCUAAGGAAAUCCGGUGAGAGACCAGAGUGCCUGCUUUUAGCAUAACAAAACAAAAAUACACACUGAAGAAGGCAGAAAGGUAAGAGUUGCCUAUAUCACCCCAACCCCAACCAGCUCAAUGUGGAGAGAGGUGCCCCCUGCUUGCCAGUGGGGAGAAUUAAGUUCAGGCCUUUGACUUGAAACCUGGUACCAGGCCAGCCACAGUGAAAUCCAGUGCUGGGCCAUGUCCGACGACUGCAAGGCCAAUACCCAAGGGCUCAGCCUCUGGAACUACACUAGACGGGCAACUGACUGCCUCCAGUAUCCCUCCCACCUCAGGUGCAGAGCAGACUCAAUCUGCUGGGGAGCAGGGCGUGAAAGCUAGCAGAGGAUGUUGCCUUAGAGCCCAGUGCUAUGUAAGUGAAACCUAGCAUCCAGCAGAAACUGAAGGUUCUGCACAGUGCCACGGGGAGGCCAUGGGGCAGCAGUCUGUGGGACUUCCAUUCCAGCCAGCAUCACCCGUGGCUGUCUGCAGCAAUCUUGAGUCAUGAGUCUGUUUCAGCACUAGGCAACCUAUACCAACCCUUGAUCCUGCCCCAGUUCUGGGCUGGUCUUGGUGGGAUAAAGAUUUGAUGGCUUGAUAGCGUUGGUGGCCAUAGGCUUGACACAGUCUAGGAUGGUCAUUCAUGGUGACUCUGCCUAGAGUUGAGCAGGGUCUCGCAGUGUCUGACUGUUACCUGUGGAGGAGGAAUCUAGGCCUAUAAGUCCCAGGCUUAAGGGGACAGACUACUCUUCUGGGUAUUGUCCUGGUUCUUUCUAAACAGGACACGAAUAGUGUAUUUGUGACAAAUUAGGCCUUGAAUUUCCCUCUAAUUCUAAAAUAGUGACAACAAACCAAUAGCUGACUGGAGUCAAAUCUGGACCUGGGUAUCAUCCAGUGAUGAAAUAGAGUAAAUGACUAUGGACUAAACAGCCUGAUUAGAAGUUCUGGAAAGAUAACUUAGGAACAAAGCCAGAUCAGAAAGACUGGAAUAAAUUCAGAAUCCUUCAAAACACAAAUGAUGUCAUAUGCCAAUAAGCAUCAAGGGAUUUCACAAAACCAUGAUCUAAUAAGGUGCCAGAACAAGUAGUAGUAAGAAUGGAAAAGAAAAAAAUCUCAGAUAAUUUGAGAUUACUCAAUGAGCUUGCAGAAAAUACAGACAAACAUUUUAAUGAUGUAACAGAGAAAAUUAAAGAGAUGGAAGCAAUUAAAAAAUCAAAUUCUUGAGCUGAAAAGAAUACUUAGCAAAAUUUAAAAUGUGAUAGAUCAGUGGCAGGACAGAUCAAACAGAAAAAAAGAAUUAGUGCACUUAAAGACCAGCAAUCCAGAGGGGAAAUAAGAAUAAAAGUGUACAGAAACUUAGGUAUAGCAUUCUAAGAGCAAAUUCAGGUUACUGGGGUUUAGAGGGGCUUGAAAAUGCCAAAUGGGUAGAAAGCUUAUUCAAAGAAAUCAAAUCUAAAGAAGGAUACAAAUUAUCUGGAUACAGGAAGGUCUAAGAUCACUAAAUUGAACGCAACAAGUAUACCCCAAGACAUCUUAAAAUCAAGCUUUCAAAGGUCAAAGAAAAAGACUAUCAAGACAAGGAAAAAAGAAUAACAUAGGAUUGUCCCAAUUCACCUGACAGCUUACUUCUCAGCAGAAACCUUACAGGCUAGGGGAGAAUAAUAUGAUAUUUUCAUAUUACUGUAGGAAAAAAACUGUCAACUGAGAAUAUUGUACUCAACAAGGUUAUCCUUCAGAAAUGAAGAAGAGAUAAAAACAUGGCCAGACAAACAAAAGCCAAGGGAAUCUAUCACCACCAGAUCUGUUUUUCAAACUGAAAGAAAAUGACAUUAAUGACUAAGGAGAAAACAUGAGAAGGUGUAAAACUGGAAGUACCAGCCAGAGCAAUCAGGCAAGAGGAGAAAUAAAGUGCAUCCUGUUUGGAAAAGAAGUCAAAUUAUUACUGUUUGCAGAUGACACGAUAUUAUAUAGAAAAUCCCCCAAGGUGCCAACAGAAACCUUUAGAAGUAAUAAAUUCAGCAAAGUGGCAGGAUACAAAAUCAAUAUAAAGCAAAUUAUCUAAAAAAGAGCUCAAGAAGGCAAUCACAUUUACAAGGACUACAAAAAAAUAUACUUAAGAAUAAAUUUAACAAAAAAGGUGAAAGAUCUCUACAAUGAAAAUUAUAAAACAUCGAUGAAAGAAAUUAGAAGAGGACACAAAAAAGUGGAAAGAUAUCCUGUGUUCUUGGGUUAGAAGAAUCAAUAUUGUUAAAAUGUCCAUCCUAACCAAAGUGAUCUACAGAUUCAAUGCAAUCUCUAUCAGAAUACCAUGACAUUCCUCACAGAACUAGAAAAAAAUAAUUCUAAAAUUUGUAGGAACCACAAAAAACCUCAAAUAGUCAAAACCAUCUUGAGCAAAAAGAACCCAGAAAGAGAGGUAUUAGAAUUACUAAUUUAAAAACAUACUACAAAGCUGUAGUAAAAGCAGCAGAGUAUUGUAAUAAAAACAAACACACAGACAAAUAGAACAACAGAGAGCCUAGAAGUAAGCCACAUAUCUACAACUAACUAAUUUUCAACAAAGAUGCUCUGAAAAAGGACUGUCUUUUAAUAAACAGUGCUGGGAAAAUUAGAUAUUACAGGUAGAAGAAUGAAACUCAAUGCCUAUCUCUUACCUAUUACAAACAUCAACUAAUAAUGAAUUUAAAUAUAAGACCUCAGACUAUGAAACUACUAUAAGAAAACAGGGAAAUGCUUCAGGACAUUGAGAUGGGCAAGGAUGUUUUGGGACAAAACUUUAAAACACAGGAAAUGAAAAACAGACAAUUGAGAUUACAUUGAACUCAAAGCUUCUGCACAGCAUAGGAUAACAGUCAACAGAGUGAAGAAUGGGAGAAAAUAUUUGCAAACAAUACAUGUGACAAGGGGCUUAUAUCCAAAAUAUAUAAGGAACUCUAGGAAUAAAGCAAAACAACAAUAUAAAGCAAAACAAAACAACCCCCCAACUCACAAAUGACCUGAUUAAAAAAUGGAUAACAGAUCUAAAUAGACAUUUGUCAAGAGAAGACAUACAAAUGGGCAAUGAUAUAAGAAAACAGGCUCAACAUCCUCAUCAUCAGAGGAAUGCAAAUCACAAUCAUAAUGAGGUGUCACCUCACCCUAGUAAAAAUGGAUAUUAUCAAAAAGCCUAAAGAUAACAAGCGCUAGAGAGGAUGUAGUGAAUGAGAACCCUUGCACACCCUUGGUGGGGAUGUAAAUUAGUACAGCCGUAAAGGAAAACAGUAUAGAGGUUCCUCAAAAAAAUUAAAAAUAGAACUACCAUAUGAUUCAGCACUCCCACUACUGGAUGCACAUCCAAAGAAAUGAAAUCAGAAUUUCAGAGACAUCUGCACUCCUAUGUUCACUCCAGCACUAUUCAUAGUAGCCAAGAAACAGGAACAACCUAAAGGCCUUUCACCUGAUGAGUGAUGAAGUAAAGGUGAUACAUAUGAAAUCCUGUCACUUGUGCCAAGAUGGAUGAAACUGGAGGUCAUUAUGUUAUGUGAAAUAAGCCAGGCACAGAAAGAGUAUCACAUGAUCUCACUCACAUGAAACCUAAAAACUAUUGAUCUUAUAAAAGCUGAGAGUAGAAUGGUGGUAGAGGCUGGGGGUGGGGCAAAGAAUGGGGCAAGGUGGAUCAAUGAAUACAGUUAGAUAGGGGCAGGAAGUUCUGGUGUGCAACUGAACCACAGGUUAACUAUAGAUACUAAUAACAUACUGUACUGUACUUCUGGCAAAAUGCUAGAAAGAUUUUCAAAGUUUUCAUGAUAAAAUGAUAAAUGUUUGAGAUAUGUGU